UGGGGAAUCUUGGACAAUGGGCGAAAGCCUGAUCCAGCCAUGCCGCGUGAGUGAUGAAGGCUUUCGGGUCGUAAAGCACUGUCGGGAGGGAAGAAGCUCUGACGGUACCUCCCAAGAAAGCACCGGCUAACUCCGUGCCAGCAGCCGCGGUAAUACGGAGGGUGCGAGCGUUGCUCGGAAUCACUGGGCGUAAAGCGUACGUAGGCGGAUUGUUAAGUCGGGUGUGAAAGCCCGGGGCUCAACCCCGGAAUUGCGCUCGAUACUGGCAGUCUUGAGUACGGGAGAGGGAUAGCGGAAUGUCUGGUGUAGAGGUGAAAUUCGUAGAUAUCAGACGGAACACCAGUGGCGAAAGCGGCUUCCUGGCCCGAUACUGACGCUGAUGUACGAAAGUGUGGGGAGCAAACAGGAUUAGAUACCCCCGUAGUCC
rnacentral:rRNA from 1 species